rnacentral:rRNA from 1 species
AUACAGAGGUCCCGAGCGUUACCCGGAUUCACUGGGCGUAAAGUGCGCGUAGGCGGCCCUAUGUCGUCUGUGAAAGCUCCCGGCUCAACCGGGAGAGGCCGGACGAAACUACAGGGCUGGAGCCUCGGCGGGGGAAGCGGAACUGCCGGAGUAGCGGUGAAAUGCGCAGAUACCGGCAGGUACCUCGAUAGCGAAGGCAGCUUCCUGGCCGAGCGCUGACGCUGAGGCGCGAAAGCGUGGGGAGCGAACCGUAUUAGAAACCCUAGUAGUCC